ACAUGCGCGGAACCUGCGCAGGAGCCGCCCCAUACUUUUCCCAUGUCCGUGGAGCGCCUCAUCGCCCGUUCACUCCAACCCGCGCCGCCCACUCUGCCUCACCUCUCCAGCGGUCCGGCCGCAGAUGUCUCCUCCCUGAGCACAAAGUGGACGCACGUGGGGCGGCCACUGGUGAAGGAGACCGCGCGCGAGCCCGCGGCGCCCUCACCUCCUCGCCUCUCCGGCCACACCGGUCUCAUUCCUAAGCAUGAAUUGGGUGCAGGCAGGGCGGCCGCCGGCGUGCGAGUCCGCGGCGCGGUGGUGGAGCCCUCCGGCCCCUUCCGGUUCGAGGUCCGCAAAGGUCUCCUCCCUGGCGUUGUUGGCCUUAUCUGAAGGUAUUCUUCCCUGUUCUUAUCUCAAUCUAUUCCGCCCCGCCCAACCCUCGAGGGAUUGCUUUCCUGGACGCCACAUCUCAUUGCUCGCACGAGGCCACUGCCUGGACGCGGCAGCCGUCGGUCCACUGGUCCUCGCACAGGCGCUCACACCAUAGCCAGCCCCAUCUGCCCACUUCUAGCGCGCGGACACAAUGAUCUGGAUGAGCUGCCGCCUCAGCAACUCGAGGCCACGCACGUCGUUUAAUUAGUUCAGCAAGGUAGGGUGCUAGAUACUAAUUGAAACAACAUCAGUCGAAGGUUGACAAAUAUUCAAACGCAUGAUGUGAUGUUCAUUAAUCUGUUUUUGCGAGUAAAGUGCGCUGGUUCUUCAUAGUUGUAGAUUUGCCGUGGAUCAACAGGUUAGCACAAGCUAGCCCUGAAUUCUUUUUUCUAAAACAAAUUUGUUGGUUCCUGAUUUUACAGGCAUGUACUGGCACCUAAUGAUGUGUCCAGAAUACACAGGGCACAUUUUGACUUGGAAUGCUGCUAUUCAACGGUGUUCAUCCGAGAUGUCAAUUUAGCAUAAGCUAGCCUUGUCUUUUUUGUUUGAAUCAAAUUUCUGGUUAUGAUUUUUUCAGGCGUGUUUUGUACUAUAUUGAUCUUGGUCUUGUUCUGUUCGCAGGGACACCUGACGAUGAAUCACAAUUUGUACUGCAAUCCAUAGACAAUAUGGACCCUAGAGCUCCUGGCGGACUUGAAGGUAUGUUAAUUCCCAUUGAUCCCAGAAGGAGAUGUGGUGCCAACAAACUCACUGAAAAUGAUUAUUGUUCAGACUAUUGCAGCACUGCAACCUGCUAGAUUUAAGUAUACAACUGUUUGCUUAGCGGUGAAUUACAUGAAAAAAUAGCAUCAUUCUAGAAGGUAUACAUCUUUGUUCAUUUUCAGGAUUGCUACCUUUUUUUGUUAUACCUCUCUUUGAUGAUUUGAUGUUGGUUUCACUGGCAUGGAACAUAGAACGAACAUAUUGACCGCUUAAUCUUUUAUAUAUGUUGAUCCCCAUGCUUUUCUCAGGGAGAGUAAAAAUAUAAUGGUUCGUUUGUGUAGAACCAAUUGCAUCUUGGAGUAGAGUAUGCUCAAGGUGGUUCACUUUUGGUUUUUGCAUUCCCAUGUGAAAUUGGGAGAGUGUCUGGAAAAAUAUGCAGUGUUGUGUAUAAAAAAAAUUAACACCGUGUAUUUAGGUUGCCAAUUUGUAAAAAAUUUAUAGCAGAUCCAAAUAGACAUCUGAUAUUAUACCUUCCAUCUAAUUGUUGGCACUUCCUUCAAAUAAGAACAUAAGCAGAACUUACAAACCGAAAUAUCUCAUAAAUGACUGUGUGUAUUUGCUUUAUGUAAUUUUCUUAUUAACUAAUCCCAUACAGUCCUGUUAGUGUAUAUAUAUCACGUGCUUCUCUGCUUCUACAUAGUCAUAUCCAUUUUUCACAAGCAGAAACUAUGUUAGGUUUAAUGGUUGCCCUGCGUCAUCGAUUCACCCAUGUGUUCUGUUUUCUGCCUGCUUUUGUUCACAAGCUCAGUUAUGCGGUGUCCUCUGUCUCAAACACCGAUGAUGACCGAUACAUGUGAAUUGAAAACUUGGUAUUUUGUCAAACUCUGGCAUCAUCCUCACUGCUUCAGCGGCACUGGCUGUCUCACCUGGUUCUUCACAGAAACCUCCCUGUACUAUAGCAUGUCGCCGAACCACUCGUUGUGGGAUGCUUAACACCGUGUUUGGAUGAUGCCACACAUGAUUCAGGGAAGACCCUGCCGCAUAUAUAAGCCCACUAAGCAGGCAUUAAUUUUCGUUUUGUUGAGAUAUCUGUUAGCUUCAUGCCUUCACCUUAAUGUAGCAGAAUAGUUAAUUACUGAUUUUGUAGGGAUCUUUUGUUGCGACUUUUUUCAUCUGACGAAGGAUUUAUAGUGGAUGCACAUCACUUUGGGUGGAACUAUCAGGCACACGACCAGUGAGCGGUGGCAGAAGCAACUUCUCCCUUGGACUGCAUGACAUGUAAGAUUAAAACCUUGAUCCUUGCACCCAUGCCUAUUUAGAAAAAAUAAAAUUGCAUGGCCGACCAUUAUUUUUGAUUGCUGUAAGUUGUGCUUAAUAACAUUUAUACAUAUUUAUUUGUAUGAAAAACACCAGCCCUUUCUUAGCAUUCAAUUUUGUUUGUUCUCACCUGUUAUCUUUGUAUGAUGACUUGACAAACGAUGGUAGACAACUAAGAUACAUACUCCUGAGAAUUUCUCUUGUAGAGCUGAAAAGAAGUCUCUGUGAUAUUGUUUUUCUUUUCAUGUCUGUGAAGGGCCUUACCAGGAACCAAGAUAUUUUUGCAGUGAGAAACCAUGUAUUUUUCCUUUAUCUUGUUGAUGAUUGUUUCUCAUACAUUUAACUUUAGAGGAAACAUGGACAUAAAGCUACAUGGGAACACUUGGUCCUGAAUAAAGUUUGUUUUAACGGAAUGUAUAUGUACUCGAAUGGAGGGAAUGAAAAUCUCAAUGAGAUGAAAUCUGGAGAUCAGAGAUGUAUCGCCUCAAUAGAAUGACAAGAUGUGGUCUCCACUCCGUGUGGUGAGAAGCACGUUUUCCUCUUAGCCCUAUGGCUUGACCGAUGCUUCUAUGUCUACCUGUACUCGAUGUGUUGAUGGCCUGAUGGGCAAGGCGUACUAAGGAUCUAGCGACAUCUUCAUGCAUAAUGCAUAAUGUUAUUUUUUGUAAUAGAGAAUUACAUGUACCACUUUUCAUUAUGAUAGUAUAUAUUUUACCUACUGGUGCAAGUUUA